GGAAUAUUGGACAAUGGGCGGGAGCCUGAUCCAGCCAUGCCGCGUGCAGGAAGACUGCCCUAUGGGUUGUAAACUGCUUUUGUACGGGACGAAACACCCCCUCGCGAGGGGGCUUGACGGUACCGUACGAAUAAGGAUCGGCUAACUCCGUGCCAGCAGCCGCGGUAAUACGGAGGAUCCGAUCGUUAUCCGGAAUCAUUGGGUUUAAAGGGGCAGUAGGUGGACAAUUAAGUCAGGGGUGAAAUCCCGCAGAUCAACUGUGGAAUUGCCCUUGAUACUGGUUGUCUUGAGUCGUUGUGAAGUGGUUGGAAUAUGUAGUGUAGCGGUGAGAUGCAUAGAUAUUACAUAGAACACCGAUUGCGAAGGCAGAUCACUAACGACGCACUGACACUGAUGGACGAAAGCGUGGGGAGCGAAC
rnacentral:rRNA from 1 species